rnacentral:lncRNA from 1 species
GGUGGUUGACCGGCCAGAAACAAAUUUCAGGAAGAAAAAAAGUUUUCAGAAAAAACAAAAUAAAAAUUCAACGACCGCCGGAAUCUGACCGGAAAAAAAACAUUCUUAAAAAAAGGGAGUGAAUAAAAGAAAAAAAGGAAAAGAAAUAAACGACACGAAUGAUACGAUACGACGGCGUAUAAGCAUUAAAAGCGAAAACAAAAAAGAAAGGGAUAUAAAUACGUGUCUAUAUAUCUGUAUUGCUUGACCACAUACAAAAAACCCUAAUCACCAAUUCUCCCAGAAAGAAUCUCUGCCAUGGCUGCUGUCACUGUUAAAGAUGAAAUAGAGGAAUGUAAUAAUUAAAAUUGCUUAAAAUCUCAAGAACUUUAUAACAAAAAAAUAAUAAAAAAAAAUUGUUCUUUAAUUAAAAAAAAAAAAAAUGGCCUCAGUGUUAGGGUUUCUUUUAGCUCUUUAAAUUGAUUGUUUUUUUUUUUUUUACCUUGAUUAUUCUUUUUGCCUUUUUCUUAAUUUGGAAAACCGUUCCGACGAACCAAGGUACUAACCGAUUGUUGUUUCCGUUGCCUCCAGGUUGGAUAUGCGUGCCUACAGGCUACCGGGAAAUCCCCGGUGACCGGAAAGCUGCAAAUCUUAAAAUCCCUUUAGGAGCUUAUUUUUUU